rnacentral:rRNA from 1 species
CCUACGGGCGGCAGCAGUGGGGAAUAUUGCACAAUGGGGGAAACCCUGAUGCAGCGACGCCGCGUGAGUGAGGAAGUAUUUCGGUAUGUAAAGCUCUAUCAGCAGGGAAGAAAAUGACGGUACCUGAAUAAGAAGCCCCGGCUAACUACGUGCCAGCAGCCGCGGUAAUACGUAGGGGGCAAGCGUUAUCCGGAUUUACUGGGUGUAAAGGGAGCGUAGACGGCUAGUCAAGUCAGAAGUGAAAGCCAAGGGCUCAACCUUGGGACUGCUUUUGACACUGAGUAGCUAGAGUGCAGGAGAGGUAAGCGGAAUUCCUAGUGGAGCGGUGAAAUGCGUAGAUAUUAGGAGGAUCACCAGUGGCGAAGGCGGCUUACUGGACUGUAACUGACGUUGAGGCUCGAAAGCGUGGGGAGCAAACAGGAUUAGAUACCCCAGUAGUC